CAGUCGCCACGGGAAUACAGAGGUUGCGAGCGUUAAUCGGAUUUACUGGGCGUAAAGCGUGCGUAGGCGGCUUCUUAAGUCGGAUGUGAAAUCCCUGAGCUUAACUUAGGAAUUGCAUUCGAUACUGGGAAGCUAGAGUAUGGGAGAGGAUGGUAGAAUUCCAGGUGUAGCGGUGAAAUGCGUAGAGAUCUGGAGGAAUACCGAUGGCGAAGGCAGCCAUCUGGCCUAAUACUGACGCUGAGGUACGAAAGCAUGGGGAGCAAACAGGAUUAGAUACCCCCGUAGUCCCUGUCUCUUAUAC
rnacentral:rRNA from 1 species